rnacentral:rRNA from 1 species
AUUGAACGCUGGCGGCAGGCCUAACACAUGCAAGUCGAACGGUAACAGGAAGCAGCUUGCUGCUUUGCUGCCGAGUGGCGGCCGGGUGAGUAAUGUCUGGGAAACUGCCUGAUGGAGGGGGAUAACUACUGGAAACGGUAGCUAAUACCGCAUAACGUCGCAAGCCCAAAGAGGGGGACCUUCGGGCCUCUUGCCAUCGGAUGUGCCCAGAUGGGAUUAGCUAGUAGGUGGGGUAACGGCUCACCUAGGCGACGAUCCCUAGCUGGUCUGAGAGGAUGACCAGCCACACUGGAACUGAGACACGGUCCAGACUCCUACGGGAGGCAGCAGUGGGGAAUAUUGCACAAUGGGCGCAAGCCUGAUGCAGCCAUGCCGCGUGUAUGAAGAAGGCCUUCGGGUUGUAAAGUACUUUCAGCGGGGAGGAAGGGAGUAAAGUUAAUACCUUUGCUCAUUGACGUUACCCGCAGAAGAAGCACCGGCUAACUCCGUG